AUAUUGCAAUGAUGCACUAUGAUAUUGCAAUGAUGAGUCCGGUGCAGCUGCUCUGAUGCACUGCAUCACUCACACAGAGCCUCCCCUGCCUGCUUGAGCAGCUGUGACAGACUGGUAAGUGCCAUGCAGGCACUUGGUGCUCAGCUCCCGGCAAGGUUUUAGGCCUUAAUAAUGGCAGAGUUAAAACACACCCUGCAAAACUGAGCAACGUGAAAUGCAAAACUGAGCAACGUGAUACUUGGCCUGCUCUCAUGAUGCAUGAUAGCAACUUGGGACUGUUUAUAAGAAGCACACUAAAUGAAAUGCUAAAAGCUAUUCUGCAGAACCUGAUGUGAUUAUGGUACAGAAGUGAAUGAAGAACUCUGGGAAGAGUAGAAGCAGAAGCUGACCUGUGAAGGACGGUGUACAUGGCAAGAACAGCAUCCGAGAUUUAAAAAACAACACCUAAAUUAAAGGGCAAACAGCUGGCUGAAAAAAUGUCUUCAAUAAGGAUUUAAAGGCUGAAAGGGAGGAGGCAGACCAAAUCUGGGGGGGAAGAGAAUUCCAAAGUGAAGAGGCAGCAACAGAGAAAGCCCUUCCACGGGCCCUAGUACUAUGGACCUCUCUAAGACCAGGACCAAAAGAAGGGCAACCUAAGAAGAUCUCACAGGACAGGCAGUCAUGAAGGUUAACAAGCGCUAAGCCCUGAAGGGUUUUGAAGGUGAGAACUAGCAUUUUGAAUUGGACCCAGAAGCAAAUAGGUAACCAGUGCAGUGACUGCAAGAGAGGUAUCACACUAUCAUACGUUCUAGUGCCCAUAAGCAGCUGGGCCACCACAUUCUGGACCAACUGAAGCUUCCAUGUCAUCUUCAAAAGGAAACCCAAGAGCACAUUACAGUAAUCCAAACGAGAGAUGAUGAGGGCAUGAGUUACCAUUGCCACGGCCUGCUGGUCGAGAUAGGACCACAACUGGCGGACCAGCCAAAGCUGGGCAAAGGCACCUCUGGCAAUUGGCCAGGUUGAGAAAAUCAUAGAAUCAACGAGUUGGAGGGGACCUUGUCCACCCCACUGGUCAAUGCAGGAAAUUCAGAGCUGGAACAUCCCUAACAGCCUCUGCUUGAAAACCGUCAGAGGAGGAACACCCAUCACCUCUAGGAUUGCUUAGGCCCUGCAAAUUCCAUUACAAUUGCAGAGAGUGAAUGAAACUCAGCCUGGGACCCAGCUAUACACUUCACUCCCCUGUGGAGCAAUCAUUUAUGAUUUCACUGGUUUAAAGAAUUUCAAGAGUGUUUGCAAAGAUCUAAAUCUUGUAGAGAUAUGGUCUGUUCUCAAGCUUAGUCAGAGGGACUGCACAUUCUAUUUUCCCCUCUCAUAAAGCAUGUUAUGGGACCGAAGCACUGUUAAUGUAUAAAUCUUGAGCACUGAAUGUUCUGUGGCAUUGUGUAGUCUCUUGCUUUAGACUGGUACACCUUAGCAACUAAGGGAACUUCUAAAUGUUGGUUUUUUCACCAGUUGUGGUGCUAUUGUUGGUGUCUGGCACAUGA